UUAAAGGUAACGUGCAAAAUUUUACAACCACCCCAUUAUAAAUAAAGUUUUAUAUAAAAGCGGACAACAACGAACAAAAUUAAAGAUUCAACUUAAAUUCUUCCUGAGCCUCAAUGAUUACUUUCUUUAUCAUAUUGGAAUACAUUUGUGGAUUCUUUUUAUCCGAUGGUUUACUUGGAGGUGGGGGAAAUGACAAAUUUGUUGGUGGUGGGUUGUAAUAAUCCCUAGAUAUAGCUCCUGUAUGUGGACCUACACGUGGAGUUUGAGGUGCUGUCUUCGGUUUAUCCGCAGUUCGAGGAAGACCCAUCAUCUUACUUUCUUCUCCUGUUUCCCUAUUUCAAAAAUGCUUAAAUAAAUAAAACUUUAUCAUGAAUUAUAAUAAAUAAAAUAAAACUUUGAA